rfam:Ictidomys tridecemlineatus contig111037, whole genome shotgun sequence.
GGGGUUGUGGGUCAGUGGUAGAGCGCUCGCCUUGCACGUGUGAGACCCUGGGUUCGAUCCUCAGCACCACCU